GCCAGGAGUUUCUGCGUCUCAUGUUCAGUUUGUUUGGUUCUUUGAUUAUUGUUCUUGUCACAGCUGUUGGAACAAUCUGGUUUCCCUGAGGGCCGACGACGUUCUCGUUCUGGUCUUUCAUUGCUUCAGCCAUGGCAACAAACCAUUGUGCUAACAGACCACCGCAGUCGUCACAACCUGGACUAAACCAAGGAACCCAAAACCCUCACCCCAACGCUGCUACCGGUGCCCCAAACCCCCAACCACAGGGGCCCCCACAUGGGUAUCCAGGAAUGUACUCGAGUCAGGACUAUCAGCCAGGACAGCCAUGCGCUCCUCAUCCUCAUUUCCCUCCCCACCCGUUCAUGUACAUGCCCCCCGCACCUCAUCCUCCACCUAUGACUCCAUUCCCCCAGUGGCCCUCGCCUUAUUCAUACAACCCCUUCUCAGGAUUCCCUGGAAUGGGCUAUGGUAUGGUCAUGCCCCCAUUCCCCCCAAACCCUUACCUGGAAGCUCCACUCUACAUGCUUCCUCAACCUCACUUCCAACAGCUCAACUACCGGCGCUUGAUCCAUUCGCAGUUCCCUGGCGGCAAUGCACCCUACCAGAGCCAGAACCGCAGAUUGGUGUCCCAACCGAAUUCUGGUGUGAGGGAGACUGUAAGCUCUGAGGUCCAGACGGAACCGACCGCUGACGCAAGUCCCCGCGCUUGCUCAGAGUCUGGAAAUGGGACCCGCGGCAGUACUACCCCUUCAGACUUUAUCAGUGGGAAGCAAAGUCAAGUUUUGGUGGAGCACUGUACCGCGGCUGUUGCCGACGCCAAAGGUCACCACAACUUUGCGAAGAAGGACUUGGGUAGGGGCACCGCCAAACGUGGCCAAGCGUCACCUUUAUCGGCACAAAUUGGGAAAAGAAGCUGUGGUGGUCAGGAAAAGUCGUCUUGUAGGCUUGGAAGUGACGGUGAAACGUGGUCGAUGUGCGCUGCCAAUGCUAUGAUUCCUGUAUGCAGCUCUUCAGACCGAGAGGACGAAGUCACCACCAAGGAACGCCGCGUCUCUUUUCCUGAUGUAUUAAUGACCUUGGUGGGUGGGACACCACCAGUGGUGACUCCUGAAUCCCCAGACGCACCAUCGCCCAAGAGAGGGGAUCAGUUGGCUGGUCAGGAGGUUGCGCUUGCUAAGGAAAUAAGAUGCGACAGCCUGACGACGAAGAGCAAAAACUUGGAGGAUGAUAUUGUUUUAAGCCAUAAGGAAAGGGAGGACCUUGCAAAGAUAAUUGGAUCACCUUUCUACUUCAGGGAGGAUCACGCUACGACUCUCAAUACAUUGAAUGAUUCAGCAGUGCUGGUUGACUCUAUUGUGGCUGACAUCCACUCCAGAAAUGGCAUGUCACAGAAUACACCCAUAGAAUCAGCAGACCAAUCCCAGAAAGUUCCUGACAAUGAACUGGUGCUGGAUGAAUAUGAAGAGUCUGCUCUACAUGAAGAUGCAAUGCAGGAUCCAUUCUCGGGUCAUUUCCAGUUCAAAAGAAAAAUGGAUGAAUCAGUUUGGUCCGUGGAAUCUUUGGCUGCCUACGUUCCUUCUCCGGGCUGGAUGAUGCAGAAUGGACUGUUAGACCCUGAGGUGAUUAUUGAAGAGAUUUUGGAGGAUGUUCAAAAGCGUGCACCAUCUACACAGAGUUGUAAUCCAACCGUUCAUCCAAGAGAUAGAAGACUAAGUCGCAGGUUUUCAUUGUCUGCUAAUGCUUUCCCAGUGUAUAUUCCCCCAGCCACUUGGUCAGCUGAACACCAACAUUUGAUUCACUCCAAUGCAUAUCCCCCGACAACCCAACGGGAUGAGGACACCAGUGUUCCUGCUGAAACACUUGACCCCCAGACGUGUGGAACGGGAGUCCCAACUCCCUCUUCUAAAGAGGCGCAGCUUCAAAGAGAUCAAGGUAUUGAUCCUUCAAAUGCACAUGCUUCGCUUCUUGACGAGACCUCCCUAGCGGUUGACGAGGGCGGGGACAUGGAUGAGUCUUCUGAGGCUGUUCGAAGCCCGACCCAGAAACCCUGUAGGGUAACUGAAAGGGCAGAGAAUAGUCCUUGCUCUUCCAAACAAGUAGAAGCCCCCCUCUCCAAUACCCGCACUGAAAACGAAAGUCCUUCCAGUCGCCAAAUCAGAGAACAGGAGCUAAAUGGGAGAGUGGAAACGAAUUCCGCUAAAAAUGAGCAACUAGCCGUCGAAAUCCCAAAAAACGCAGUUUCACCAGCGAAGUCGGACUGUGGUAGCCAGUGCUCGUUACUGCAACAUUUGACUUGUAUAUGCAACUGUCAUCAAGAGGCUGAAACCAUCCAGGCCUCAUCUGAGACUGCAGAAAGAAAAUGGAAACAAACGAAAAAGAACAGACCCAACUGUCGACGUAAUCGUCAGAAGAAGUACCAGAAGGAGACUUGGAUGGGAGAUGGCAUGCCUUGAAAAUAGACUGGUGGAAAUGGAAGAUAACGAAGAUUCCGAGCAAAUUACAUUUCUUUCCUUUUUUUAAACAUUCAAUAAUUAAUAAAUAUACUUUUUUAACUGUAUCAUGCAUUUGUGAUUUUAUUAAUGCAUUCCUUUAUUUGAUAAUGCAUCACUCUUUGUAAAUAUAGACUAAUCAUUAAGUCAUUCCUAAAUAAACAAUAAUGCAGACAUGUGAAAUGCAAGGG